ensembl:snoRNA
UGGGCCAGAGAUGAGAAUAUACCAUGAGAAAAAGAUUAUAAUUAAUCCAGUUCUGCACAACUGAGAUUCACU